GGGCACGACACCGGAGAGGGAGCCUGAGAAACGGCUACCACAUCNAAGGNUGGCAGCAGGCGCGCAAAUUACCCAAUCCCGACACGGGGAGGUAGUGACAAUAAAUAACAAUACGGGGUUCUUUAGGAUCUCGUAAUUGGAAUGAGUACAAUUUAAAUCUCUUAACGAGGAACAAUUGGAGGGCAAGUCUGGUGCCAGCAGCCGCGGUAAUUCCAGCUCCAAUAGCGUAUAUUAAAGUUGUUGCAGUUAAAAAGCUCGUAGUUGAAUUUCGGGGUUAGUAGGUUGGUCAUGCCUCUGGUAUGUACUGGUCUCACUGAUUCCUCCUUCCUUAUGAACCGUAAUGCCAUUAAUUUGGUGUUGCGGGGAAUUUGGACUGUUACUUUGAAAAAAUUAGAGUGUUUAAAGCAAGCUAACGCUUGAAUACAUUAGCAUGGAAUAAUGAAAUAGGACGUUCGAUCUUAUUUUGUUGGUUUCUAGGAUUGACGUAAUGAUUAAUAGGGAUAGUUGGGGGCAUUAGUAUUCAAUUGUCAGAGGUGAAAUUCUUGGAUUUAUUGAAGACUAACUACUGCGAAAGCAUUUGCCAAGGAUGUUUUCAUUAAUCAAGAACGAAAGUUAGGGGAUCGAAGACGAUCAGAUACCGUCGUAGUCUUAACCAUAAACUAUGCCGACUAGGGAUCGGAUGAUGUUAAUUUUUUAAUGACUCAUUCGGCGCCUUACGGGAAACCAAAGU
rnacentral:rRNA from 1 species